rnacentral:rRNA from 1 species
GAUGAACGCUGGCGGCGUGCCUAAUACAUGCGAGUCGAGCGAACAGACGAGGAGCCUGCUCCUCUGACGUUAGCGGCGGACGGGUGAGUAACACGUGGAUAACCUACCUAUAAGACUGGGAUAACUUCGGGAAACCGGAGCUAAUACCGGAUAAUAUAUUGAACCGCAUGGUUCAAUAGUGAAAGACGGUUUUGCUGUCACUUAUAGAUGGAUCCGCGCCGCAUUAGCUAGUUGGUAAGGUAACGGCUUACCAAGGCAACGAUGCGUAGCCGACCUGAGAGGGUGAUCGGCCACACUGGAACUGAGACACGGUCCAGACUCCUACGGGAGGCAGCAGUAGGGAAUCUUCCGCAAUGGGCGAAAGCUUGACGGAGCAACGCCGCGUGAGUGAUGAAGAUCUUCGGAUCGUAAAACUCUGUUAUUAGGGAAGAACAAAUGUGUAAGUAACUAUGCACGUCUUGACGGUACCUAAUCAGAAAGCCACGGCUAACUACGUG